rnacentral:rRNA from 1 species
UUAUUUAAGAUGUAAUUUUAUAAUAUUAGAGUAGUAGUAGUUAAGUUCUUGAAACUCAAAAAAUUUGGCGGUAUUUUAGACUAUUCAGAGGAACCUGUGGCAUAAUUGAUAAUCCACGAUGAACCUUACUUAAACUGGAUAAUUUCAGUUUGUAUACCGCCGUUAUUUGAAAAUUUUUUUAGAAUAAUAAUUUUCAUAAAUUUUUAUUUGAAAAUAAAUCAGGUCAAGGUGCAGCUUAUGUUUAAGUGUUUCAUGGGUUACAUUAAAUAUAUUUACACGGAUUAAAGUAUGAAAUAUUUUUAUGAAGGCGGAUUUGAAAGUAAAUUUUUAAAGAUUAAAGAAUUGACUUUAGCUCUAAAAUAUGCACACAUCGCCCGUCACUCUUGUUAAUAAUAUAAGAUAAGUCGUAACAUAGUAGAUGUACCGGAAGGUGUAUCUAGAAUGACAAUUUGAAGCUUAUUAAGUAAAGCAUUUCAUUUACACUGAAAAGAUUAUUGUGCAAAUCAAUAUGAAUUGAUAUUAUAUAAUUAUUUAUUAUAUUUUUUUUUUAUUUUAUUAUUAGAAAUAACUAUUAUGUUAGGUUUAAGUAUUGUAUAAAGAAAUAAUAAUUUUAAUUAUAGUUUAUUAGUAAUUUGAAUGAACUUUGAAAUAAUUGAAAAAUAUAUAGCUAAAAAGAAAAUUUAAUUUAUUG